AAUGACCAUCAAGUAACAGACAAGGGUUCAUUCUAUCAGCAUUUUUACCUAACUACAGGAUGGCACAACCUUAAAGAAAUUCAGGAUCUUUUAGAUUCUCAUCAUGGCCCAGUUCCACCUCAAAACCAGGUAACCAUUUUGAAUUUAUGAGCUGGGAUAAUUCCUGGGGUGUUUCAGUCUCAAAUUCAGUGUUAUAUUGGUUUCAAACUGACAAGAUCUAGAAUAUACGAAACAAAAUACAAACACUUACUGAAGAAAGGUAAUACCCGUCACUUAUAGAAAAUGGUAUAUCUUCAGGUCAAAGUAAGAAUUCA